rnacentral:rRNA from 1 species
CCUGGGAACUGCGUUNUGAACUGGGUGACUAGAGUGUNUCAGAGGGAGGUAGAAUUCCACGUGUAGCAGUGAAAUGCGUAGAGAUGUGGAGGAAUACCGAUGGCGAAGGCAGCNUCCUGGGAUAACACUGACGUUCAUGCCCGAAAGCGUGGGUAGCAAACAGGAUUAGAUACCCUGGUAGUCCACGCCCUAAACGAUGUCGAUUAGCUGUUGGGCAGCUUGACUGCUUAGUAGCGAAGCUAACGCGUGAAAUCGACCGCCUGGGGAGUACGGUCGCAAGAUUAAAACUCAAAGGAAUUGACGGGGACCCGCACAAGCGGUGGAUGAUGUGGAUUAAUUCGAUGCAACGCGAAGAACCUUACCUGGUCUUGACAUGUACGGAACCCUCCAGAGACGGAGGGGUGCCUUCGGGAGCCGUAACAUAGGUGCUGCAUGGCUGUCGUCAGCUCGUGUCGUGAGAUGUUGGGUUAAGUCCCGCAACGAGCGCAACCCUUGUCAUUAGUUGCCAUCAUUAAGUUGGGCACUCUAAUGAGACUGCCGGUGACAAGCCGGAGGAAGGUGGGGAUGACGUCAAGUCCUCAUGGCCCUUAUAACCAGGGCUUCACACGCCAUACAAUGGUCGGUACAGAGGGUAGCCAUGCCGCGAGGUGGAGCCAAUCUCACAAAACCGAUCGUAGUCCGGAUUGCACUCUGCAACUCGAGU